rnacentral:lncRNA from 1 species
GGCACCGAGCAGAGGUGAGCGCUGGGCACCCUGUAGGAUAGAGGCGCGAGACACCGAGGGCUGCAAGCAGAGGUGCAGUGCUGGGGCGCUGGUGGACUGGACAGAGGUGCUGUCCAGAGGCAAGCAGGCAGAGGCGAUGCUGAGUGCUGGGCUGUGAGAGGGCUCCAUAGCAGAGGGAGAGAGCCGUUAGGACUCUGGCCGAGGAGGCUUGAUCGAGGAUGAGACGAUGAGGGCUGGCUUGAGGCACUGGAACGCUGAGUGAGGUGCUGGUGUGAGAGAGCGACCCUGAGAGAGUGGUGCAAGGCACAAGCACAGAGGCGCUGGCAGAGGCGCUGAGAGAGGAGAGACUGCGAUCAGAGGCUGUGAACGAGGCGCUAGAGCGUGCGAGGCCCUGCAGAGACUCACCAGAGGUGAGUGCCGGGCGUAGAGGCACAAGGCCCCGAGGGCUGGCCGAGCAGAGACUCCACUCGAGCGCUGAGUGAGGCGCUGGUGUGAGAAUGCACUGGUAGAGGCGCUGAGAGGAGGCACUGAGCAGAGACAGAUUUCUGUCGUGGAUACGACAGAGUGCUUGGAUGCAGAGGGAGAGUGAUCUCAGAUUCAUGUCAUCGAGAUCGAGAGGGAGUGUUGAGGUAUACGCUCUCUAUGACAUGAUCCUAGGUGGCAGGAGUGCCACUUCAUUGAUCCAGGUGUAGGCUAGAGGUGUGUCUCUUCAUCAUGUAUAUAUAGCUAUGAUAUAUACGACUAUCCUUUGGAGUCAUCCACCAUCGUAGCUUCCGCUCUUCUUCUCUUC